GCCGGGAUAGCUCAGUUGGUAGAGCAGGCGGACUGAAAAUCCUCGUGUCAC
rnacentral:tRNA from 1 species